rnacentral:rRNA from 1 species
UACGUAGGGUCCGAGCGUUGUCCGGAAUUACUGGGCGUAAAGAGCUCGUAGGUGGUUUGUCGCGUUGUUCGUGAAAACUCACAGCUCAACUGUGGGCGUGCGGGCGAUACGGGGCAGACUAGAGUACUGCAGGGGAGACUGGAAUUCCUGGUGUAGCGGUGGAAUGCGCAGAUAUCAGGAGGAACACCGGUGGCGAAGGCGGGGUCUCUGGGCAGUAACUGACGCUGAGGAGCGAAAGCGUGGGGAGCGAACAGG